GGACGGGUGAGUAAUGUCUGGGAAACUGCCCGGUGGAGGGGGAUAACUACUGGAAACGGUAGCUAAUACCGCAUAACGUCGCAAGACCAAAGAGGGGGACCUUCGGGCCUCUUGCCAUCGGAUGUGCCCAGAUGGGAUUAGCUAGUAGGUGGGGUAACGGCUCACCUAGGCGACGAUCCCUAGCUGGUCUGAGAGGAUGACCAGCCACACUGGAACUGAGACACGGUCCAG
rnacentral:rRNA from 1 species